GACGAACGCUGGCGGCGUGGAUUAGGCAUGCAAGUCGCGCGACAGGCGGAGCAAUCCGUUAUGGAGCGGCGAACGGGUGAGUAACACGUGAGAAAUCUACCCUUACGUUCCGGAUAAUUGGAAGAAAUUCCUUGUAAUACGGGGGAGGUUCUUUAUUAGGCAUCUUUUGAAGAACAAACGAGCAAUCGGCGCAAGGAUGAUCUCGCGGCUUAUCAGGUAGUUGGUGGGGUAACGGCCUACCAAGCCUACGACGAGUAGCUGGUCUGAGAGGAUGGUCAGCCACAUUGGAACUGAGACACUGUCCAGACUCCUACGGGAGGCUGCAGUCGAGAAUCUUGGGCAAUGCACGAAAGUGUGACCCAGCGACGCCGCGCG
rnacentral:rRNA from 1 species